UGAGGGAGUAGCUCCAAUGGGCAGAGCGGGACGUGCGCGGCGUCUGGUUGGUGGUUCGAAUCCACCCUCCUUCACUAG
rnacentral:tRNA from 1 species